rnacentral:Y_RNA from 1 species
GGCUGGUCUGAGUGCAGUGGUGUUUACAACUAAUUGUUCACAGCCAAGUACAGAUUUGUUUCCUCUCCACUCCCAGUGCUUUUCUUCACUAGCCUUUU